AUGGAUCGAAUGCAGAAAAUUACUCCCAAUCCCAAGAACUACGUUGUGCUCCAUCGUAUCAUCGUCUCAUCGCUCUUCUUGCUGCUGUCAUGUACCGCGGCGAGCGGCCAGCAAGCCCCGUACAAGCCACUCAUCUCCCGGCUCGCCAAGGACCUCAACACCUCCCUCUACACCAUCAUCAUCAAGGCCGACAAGUCGCCGCUCCUCCUCGACCUCGCCGGCUCGCUCGUCUGGUCAACUUGCCCGCCGUCGGCGCAGAGCACUGUGGCAUGCGGGUCCGGUAAGUGCGGCAGCGCGGCCAGCCAGGAGUGCCCACACCGCUGCCUGCACGUGGACGGCGGCCAGAUAGGAGAGUCAGGGUCGCAAUGCGCCUGCGCCGGCAACCCGGUCACCCGCCAGUGCUCCACCGCCGACCUCACGAGCUUCGCGAUGUCGGCCAACGCCACGGACGGCGCGAUGGAGCUUCCUCCUGAAGAGUCGUUCGCCAUCCUCGGCGCGUGCGCGCCGAACAGCCUGCAGAGAUCGCUCCCCGCGGGCGUCACCGGCGUGGCGGGGUUCUCCCGGCGGCCGCUCUCGCUGCCGUCGCAGCUCGCCGCUCAGCGCGGCUUCGGAGGUAAGUUCGCCCUGUGCCUCCCCGUGUUCGCCAUCUUCGGGGACUCGCCUGUGAACCUGACGGCGCCCGGGCAAGCGCCAGGCUACGUCGACUACACGACCAUCAUACCAUACACCCCACUCCUCACCAACCCGGCGAACGCCGCCGGAUACUACAUCCCCGUCAAGAGCAUCUCCGUGUCGUGGCACGAGGCCGACGCCCAGGCGAUCCUCCCCAGCGGCGCGCUCGAGCUCGACCCCGGCGCCGGCACCGGCGGCGUCGUGCUGAGCACCGCCACGCCCUACAUGAUGAUGCGCCCCGACGUGUACGAGCCGUUCGCCAAGGCCUUCGACGACGCCUUCACAAGGUAUAUACGCGACGCAUUCGCCGCAAGGGCAAGGGGGAGGAAUGUUCCGGCGACCUCCGUGGAGCGGGUGCCGGCGCCGAAGCCGUUCGAGAUCUGCUACAACGCCGGGUUUAUGAGGCUGAAGCGGCCGUCGGCCUACGACGUGCCUCGCAUCCAGCUAGAGCUGGGCGCCGGCGCCACGUGGAAGAACUGGACGCUGUACGGCGACAACUACCUGGUGAAGGUGGACGGGGCUUUGUGCCUGGGGAUCCUGCGGAUGGGGCCCGGCGGCAUGCCGGUGGACGGCGAGCCGGCGGUGGUGAUCGGCGCGAAGCAGCUGGAGAACAACCUGCUGGUGUUCGACCUGGAGAAGCAGGUGCUCGGGUUCAGCAUGCUGCUGGACUUCGCCUUGUCCAGUUGUACAAGCUCCAACUUCUUGAGGAACUAG
rnacentral:rRNA from 1 species